rnacentral:rRNA from 1 species
GACGAACGCUGGCGGCGUGGAUUAGGCAUGCAAGUCGAACGGUAUCAUCCUUUCGGGGGUGAGAGAGUGGCGAACUGGUGAGUAACACGUAGGUUAUCUACCCUCAAGACGGGGACAACCCAGGGAAACUUGGGCUAAUACCGGAUGUGAGCAACUUUUAGUUGUUUGAAAGGUGGCGUAAGCUGUCGCUUGGGGAUGAGCCUGCGUCCUAUUAGUUAGUUGGUGAGGUAACGGCUCACCUAGGCAAUGAUAGGUAGGCGGCCUUAACGGGUGGUCGCCCACACUGGGAUUGAGAUACGGCCCAGACUCCUACGGGAGGCAGCAGUCGAGAAUAGUCUACAAUGGUCGGAAGACUGAUAGUGCGACGCCGCGUGAACGAUGAAUCCCUUCGGGGUGUAAAGUUCUUUUAUAUGUGAGCAGUGCUUCUUAUAUUAACAGUAUGGGGAGAGAGAUAUUAGCAUAUGAAUAAGCAACGGCUAACUCCGUGCCAGCAGCCGGCGGUAAAACGU